ensembl:lncRNA
CGAUUUCCUACGGCUAUGGAGUAAAUUCUGUGAAAGCUGGGAGCCCGGAGAGACUGGAGGGACCCGAAGUUCCCCGGCCCGCCCCCAGCCGUGCGGCACGUUAAGGAGCUCCCGCACGUUAGAGUGAAUGGGCUGCCGAGAAGCGGUUACCCGACGCCAAACCCGGCGCGGAGCAGGCGGGAUCUCGAGGAGCCUCGGCUCUAAUCGGGCCGCCCUUGGGGGAUGCUCGGAGUUACGCCAGCGUGAGGGCGGCCUUUGGGCACAGGGCAGAGCCCGCCCAGGGGCUCUUCCCCUUUCCGCUUCCCCGGCACCGCGCAGUCUGGCAAAACUACGCGCCCGCCGCUCAGAGUCGUGUUUCUGAGCACAUGAAGCACGGGACCGCAAAGGAAGUCGGUCAGAUUUGGGCCCGAAACCGAGAAACCCUCGGUUCAAUCCCGCCUCGGACGUCGCGUGUCCUUGCACAAGGCGCUCCAUUCCUCUGCGCUCUCCACCACUGGGCGGCGGCCCGAACUGGCCGAGGGGCGUCUUCAUCUGGAACCAAGGAAAGCGCAGGGGGCCCAGGCUCCGGCCCGUCCAGAACUAUGGGUCAGCAAACUUCUGAGAAGGUGGCCGAGGAAAGGGAUGGAGAAGGAUGCUUAGGGGUUCCUCAGGCCUGUCUCCUCAGAAGGGGAGACCCAAAGAUGGCAGGGACUCGCGCCCGAUUACUCCCAAGUCAUUGUCGGCAGAGCCCGGAUUCUACCCAGGUCUGAACUAAAGCUGAGCAUCCCGCACUUCUUCCCGACUCCUCCCUAAUGUGGCCUCAGGUAACAAAGCCUUGCUGGGGGCGUCUUUCCCACCGGAGACAGGGGGCUCAUGCUCCCCGAAUUGCAAGAAGGAAGCAGGAGUAAGGCGCAAUCGUUCUGCCAAGGAAGAAAAGAGCCCGAGCUUGCGUGUGAUCCCAGGACUCCUAGGUAGUAGCCGCCCAAGUUUAUUGGCAGCCAAGUGAAGGGUUCUUUCCAUGACAUCAAAGAACGCAAGGGCCCCUGGGGAAAUCAUAUUGCCAGUGGGUGAUGUGGGACUUGAAUGAAAAAGAAAAGCCAUUUCUCACACAGCAGAGACUCCGUCACUCUCCUGCCUCCCUCCGAAGACUUUAAGGGUCCCCCAGGGCCUAAAGGAUACGGCAUGUGAGAGCCUUAGCGCAUCAUCAAAAACCGAGAUGCUUGUGGAUGUGAUUGAAUCCUGUCUCUACUGGCUACUUCCCUUGCUUUCUGAGUCUCCAUAAAAUGAGAGAAUGAGCCCUGAGUUGUCCCACUCCCAAUGAUGACUUUGUACUGCCUACAACAAGCUCAAACAACACUCCCAGAUGAGAUACACAAUCUCUUAAAAGAGUUCAACCUUACCAUCCACACAGGAUAAAGUAAAUGGAUAAAGACUAUCUACUAUCUAGACUAAAUUGAACAGGAGGAGGAAACCAGGCUGGAUUGUAUUCAGGAUCCAAGUGGUUCGGUCAGUGCCCUCAGAUAACUUGCUUGAUGUGUGCUCCUUCACUUAACUUCUGUCUGCUUUAGUUCCCUCAUCAGUAAAAUAGAAAUAAAAAGACCUACCUCCUACAAUUAUCGUGAGAACUAAAUUCUAUAAUAUUUGGAAAAUCCUUUGUCAGUUCUAAAGUGCUAUAUAAAUG